AUGAGCCACGCAUGCUUCAUUACUUCCAAUUCUUUUCUUUACAACAAAGAAGUUAACAAUGGGUCUGAAGUCAGCCAUUGUCUCAAGAAGCCCAGGAUUAAGAUCUGGGCUAGCAUGCUUAUUGCUACAAGACUGUCAUUACUUGUGCGACUUUUCUGGUUUUUUUUUUUUUUCUAUUUUUUCUUUUUGAGACAGAGUCUUGCUCUGUCACCCAGGCUGGAGUGUGCAAUGGGACGAUCUCGGCUCACUGCAACCUCUGCCUCCUGGGUUUAAGUGAUUCUCCUGCCUCAGUCUCUUGAGUAGCCAAAAUUACAGGUGCAUGCCACCAGGUCUGGCUAGUUUAUAUUUUUAGUAGAAACGAAGUUUUGCCAUGUUGGACAGACUGGUCUUGAAGUCCUGAUCCACCCACCCUCCCAAAGUGAUGGGAUUACAGGUGUGAGCCACUGUGCUGGGCUUUUGGUAACUUUUCAACAGAAUAGGUAGGGGUGUGUGUGUGUGUGUUUAAUUUCUAUGAAUAGUUACAUUUCAAAUUUAAUAUUGGAUUUUCUUAACUUUUAGGACAUAUAUAUAUAUAUAUAUAUAUAUAUAUAUAUAUAUAUCCUAAAAAUAUAUGUAAUCUUUAUGAUGAAUGUCUGAAAGUCUUAGUGUCUAAUAGCAUUAAUUUGUUUAAUUGCAUUUUUCUAUGAUAUGCAUAAAAUAGUUUCUAAAUUAAAACACCAAUAUUGUAUCUAAAUCAAGUUCAAGAUUUCUCUGCCAGUUGCUAUUUUUCUCUUCAGACUACAUCCCACUUAGGAGGUAUAGCCAGAGUAUUGUGCUUAAAAGCCCAAAAGUCACUUGAAAUAUUUUUUUUUUUGCAUGGUUAGGUUACUGAUUUGAGUACAUGAACAGUUAGAUUCAUUUUCAGUUUUGGGGUUUGCCUCUUUAUCUAAGUAUAUGGUUUGAUUGUAUAAAAAGAUUUGCAUGGUUCUAAAGUCUACAUAUAUAUAUGAUGGUAUGCAUAGAAAUUCUCACUUCAUUUUUAUAUCUCUAUAUUUCUCUCAGCUUCACAUAGAUAACAAUUUUAGUUAAUUUCUGUUUUAUCUUUUCAGUGUUUUCUUUUGUAAAAAUAAGCAAACAACUCUUCAUGGGGUACCAAUUCUUCUGCACUUUGAGGUUGUACAUACAUUUAUGAAUGGUAGGGUUCUAUAUCUGGAGGCUAGGAACCACAGGGCGGAAGUCAAGAGUCACCAGAUAUAUGUGUGGCAUGAGAGAUAAAGCAUGUACAGCAGGCAAGAAUCUGAAAAGUUCUGGCUCCAGGUGACAUAAGUCCAAGGGCACCCACUGCCACAGACACUAGCUAUUGCUAGUGUCACUGGGGUCAAGAGGUAAGUCACAAAAUUCAAUCCAUUACCAAUCUCAAAAAUCUUCAGCAUAAACAACAUAAGCUCUUUUCCUGUUCAUGUUGCUGCUUCAAUAACAUUGCCUAUAGUCCUUGCUCACAUAGUGUUUAUAGUUUAGUGCCAGUAACAGAGUUAAGUAAUCACAUGAAUGAUUGAACCAUGGCAAACAAAUAACUACACUAAGCAUGAUUCCAUAGUCUGCAAAAGCGUAAGACAAAAAAAGCAACCAACCAGACAAACAAUAUAAACCUGACUUGCACUGGGGUCCUCUGAGAAGUAUUUGCUGAGAAACAGGCAGGAACAGAGGUCAGUGGGGUGAUUCGGUGCAAGUUAUGUGAAAGUGGAGGCCGGAGAAGUAAGUGCUCUGGAAAGAAGGAACAAUAUGUUAUGAAGAGAUUGUGGUGAGUGUGAGAAAUGUAUACGACAGAAUUUUGAGAGAUGAAGAAUGGGACAGAAUAAUACUGGAAUCAGAUGAACAAGGUCAACAUCAACAGUGAUCAAUUAUAUUGCUAAAAUAUGAAGAAAAUGACAUUUUCCCACUGUAAUCUUUCCAAAUAUCUACAACCCCAGACUAAUUACGCAAAAAAUAUCACACAAAUUCAAAUUGAAAGAUGAUUUACAGAAGUCCCGACUCAUACGUCUCAAAACUGUCAAGAUCAUGAAAAACAAGGAACUUCUGAGCACCUGUCACAGUCAAGAGGAGCUUAAGAGAUGUGAUGACCAAAUAUAUGGUGGUUUGCUGAAUGGGAUCCUGGAAUAGUAAGAGGACACUAGGAAAAAAAUAAGGAAAUUAGAAUGUAAACUUUAGCUAAUAUUAUAUCAAUAUUAGUUUAUUAUAGCUAAUGCACCAUACUAAUGUAAUAUAUUAAAAAUAGGGGAAACUGGAUGUGGAGUACAUGGAAGCUAUGUACUGUUUUGGCAAUUUUUCUGUAAAUAUGAAACUGAACAAACAAUAAGUUUAUUUAAAAGUAUGCUGGAGACCUGGUGGUUGGGAGCUAGACCUUGCAGGACAUCAUAAACUGUUUAAAGUUUUAGCAGUUUUUUCUACUACACUCACUUUAAGAGCUGUGAUUUUCUUUUAAACAGAUAAACUAUGAUUACAUUUUACCUUAUGUAAAAUGUCACUGUGGCUGAGGUGCCAUCCACACUGAAUGGCAAGUGUGGAUUCAGGAAAUUCAGUUUUAAAGCUCUUUUAAUAGUCUUGGAAAGAGAAGAUGGUAACUUGAACAAGAAUCAAGCGUGGAGAGAGCAUGGCAUGAUCAGAUUUGGUAUCAAGUUUGUGGGUAAAAUUACAGCAUUGGUAAUUUGACCUCACUUGAAAUAAUAGAUUUGAGAGAAGAGGCAACACAUUUAAUCUUAUACCUUCCACUAAGCCAGAUCACAUUUUCUGGUCUAGAAGACUUACUGAGUUGAAAAGGAAGUUGUUUUUUUUUUUGGAAGCCUGAAGUCUUAUUUUCUGAUCUUUGGUGAGUAGAAGUAGUUGGCUUUUCCAGCUCCACAGGGCAAUAAGUUAAUAGCUUCUAGUUAAUGUAGAUUGUAGGCUGCAGGCAUAGGCAUCUAUAUAAUAUAGAUUAUAGGCUGCAGGCAUCAAUCCAUAGGCAAUUAUGGGUUGAUAAUUGACCAGUUUGGCUGCUGGCAAACUGGUCAAUUAUCAGUACAUCUCUGUGUUAUAGCAUCUUGUUAAAAAUAUCAGGGAACUGUCAACACACACAUUCUGGCUCUUUCCAAUGGCUUGUCUGCAUACUAUAGAUUCUGUGGAAAAGUUAUGUCCUUUCCAAGUUAGCUCAUGUCUGUUUUACAGAGUAUUUUACCAUAGCAUGACAAGGGUUAUCAGCUUCCAAACUUCAAAAUCUGUGUGUGUAAGAGUGGGUGUGUAUGUGAGUGUGUGUGUGUUUUGCCACUAAUUUCUUGAACACAAAGUGAAUGCCACAUAUUUCAAGUUAAAUAAGCAGCUCUCCUCCAUGUAAUCAUUCAUGGAUCCAGGUUCUCCAUUCUGUUGUUCCACCAUUCCUUAGAUUGCGUCGUCUUAGAUCUUCAUAGGCUUUUCAUCUACAGAAGGAGAAAGAGUUGAGAUCAUGGACUUUCCUUUUAAGAAAUUGGCAUGUAAGUUGCGCACAUCUCUUCUGAUCAUCACGUGUCCAGAGCAAGCUAUAAGGGAGGCUUUAGUGGCCAUAUGCCCAGCUAAAACUUGACUUCUAUUGAAGAAGUGGAGGAUGGAUUUUGUAAGCCAAAGGAGACUAAGAGGAGUCACUAAGGAACAUGAGGGUUAUGAAGAGAGUGUUGUCCUAGAAACCAAGGAGAAGAGGAUUUUGCAUGAAGAAAGAGAUGAUGGUUGCACUUUGGUUACAUUUAUCCAAAUGCCCCAUCCGACUCAUCAGUGUCCCUAGUAAAAUCUGGUUAUAGAGAUGAACACCAUUUUUCAGAUGAGGCCUGCUGAGUGUAGAGAGCUGUGUAAAAUUUUUCCCUUAAAUCGAAUACUAUGUUUUAACUAAUGCAGCCUAUGUUUCUUUAAGUAACAAGGCCAUCCCACUGACUCACACUGAGCUGGUUCUCAGAAAAAACUCCCUGCUUUUUCUCAUUUUAACUGCUGUAAAAACAAGUUGCUUCUAUCAUGCAUUCGAUUCAUUGAGUUAUGAAAAUAUGUAGGUAUUUUAUUUCUUUUAUGUAAAUUUAUGUUGGUUUUAGCCCAUAAUUUGAAGUCAAGAAGUCUUCCUGGAACUAGACUGUGUCUAUAUUAGUUGUCUUUUCCAUUUUGUGGUUUAUGGUAAAAUUAAUAAAAGAUCUUGCAAAUCAGUCACACAGCUGCCAUUUACUGUGUGCUUAUUGCUCAAUGCCUGUUUAGAUAGUGUAUUGGAGAACAGGCUGGCUGCCCUCUUAUUUAAUUUUUGAACAUUCUUAUAAGGUCACUUUGUUUGGUUUCUGGCCUGCCUAUUGUAUUAAUUACAUAAAAUAAAACACUUUGGGAAAAUAUUGUUAAUUUUUUACAGAAUUUUCCAACAUCAAUACUACUACUAUUAUUACAGCUACCAUACAACUCUCACCACUAUAAAAUUGCUGUUUUUAAGAAUUUGGAAAUUAUUUUAUUAUGGUGUGAUAUACAUACAUUAAAAUUCAUUCUCAUUUGUGCACAGUUCUAUUUGUUUUGACAAAUUCACACAAUCAUGUAACCACCACCACAAUCAAAAUAUAGAACGGUUUUAAUCACAAUUUCUUUAUGCUUUUUAUAGUCAAUACUUUCCCACCACCGCCCUGUCCCUAUCAUUUUGCCUUUUCCAGAAUGGAACAUAAAUUGAAUCAUAUCAUAUGUGACUUUUUGAGUCUAGAUUGUCCCAUGUAUGAUAAUGCGUUAAGAUUUGUCCAUGUUUCUGUGGACAAAUUAGUAGUCUAUUCCUUUAUGUUGCAGAGGAGUACCCAUUGUAUGCAGUUAUCACAGAUCUUUUAUCCAUUAUUUGGAGAACUUUGGGGUUGUAUUUAGUUUUGGACAGUUAUGAAUACAGUUUCUACAUUUUUAAUAUAAACAUCAGUUUUUAUUUCUUUUGGGUAAAUACUUAAGGGUGGGAUUACUGGAGUAUGUGGUAAAUCUAUGUUGGUUUAACCGUGUAAAAAACAACCAAACUGUUUUCCAAAGUAACCAUUCUGUUUUUCAGUCUCACAGCAUGUAGGAACAUUUUAGUUACUUUAUAUGCUUACCAGCACUUUAUAUGCUUACCAGUCUUUUGUCAAAUAUAUGAUUUGCAAAUAUUUUCUCCCAGUAUAUGGAUUUUCUUUUUCUUCUAUUAACAGUAUCUUUUGUAUAGGAGAAGUUCUUUUUUUUUAAUGAAGUCCAAUACAGUGACAUUUUCUUAUAUAAAUUGUACUUUUGGUGUUAUAUGUAAGAAAUCUUUGCC
ensembl:lncRNA